AAUCUUUGGAGAGAUAUGAUUACUAGUCACCAUUUGUUCAGAAGACUAGUCUAGGGGCAUUAAGUGACUUGUCAACAGCCAACCAGCUGACACAAUGGGUCUGAAUACUACUGAGCUGUGCUAUGUGAUUAGCAGCCUGAUGGCCAUUAAUUAUCUGAGUAAGGAAAAAGUGGAAGAAAACACUAGAAACCUUAACUAUCCAAAUAUGGCUAUCAAAAUUAGAGGUCAGAAGCAAUGGAUUCAGAGGAGCAUAGUGUUCAAAGAGUCUCCACACCGUGUCAGUUUUUCAACAGAUGGACACCUGGUCAGUGCUUAAAGUCAGGUAUGGUUAUGGAUAUUGCUGUUAAAGCCACAAGCAACCACAAACAAUAAAGAAGUAACCGGGAGGCUCUUUAUCCAGGCUGUAUCCAUAGGUCACGUUAGAAACAAAAAUCAAUGAAUCAGCAGCCAACCGAACAACAACAACAACAACAGCAAAGACAAAGCCAACUCCAGGACACAUGAACAUAAAACCACCACAGCCACGCAGGCAAAGUCACAGAGGUCAGCACGCAGCCUCACAAAACUGGAAUCCUCCUGUUCUGGACUGUACAGGUUACUAAAGCAUGAAUGAACACGAAAUAUCAAACAGUGCUGGGAGGAGUGGGGAGAGGGGACACUUACAUAUGAGAAAAGAAUUUUAAAAAGACACAGAAGAAAAGAAAAACAUAAACCAAGCAGUACCUCGGAAAGGCUUGGUCAGAAUCAGUGUUUUACCAAUAACGGAAUGGGGGCUCACCGUGGUUAAGGGGAUUACCCAGCACUCUGGGUUCACAGCCAGGGGAAUCCGAGGCUGUCACCCAGGCUUUCCAGCUCUACCCCUCCUCGGUGUCCACUCUGGUACUGCACUUUGCUAUCUAUAAAGUGAAUUCACAGAUGUGGACUCCUUUGAUCUACAGACAACACUGCUUUCUCGGACAACCCAGGAGACUGAUACAAGCAAAGGCUAAUCACUUUCCCAAGGUCACCCAGUAAGUAUCAUAGCCUGAAUCUCAGCCUUCCACGUCAAGUAUCCACAGCUGCCAACAGAAAAAGAACAAGAGAAGGAGCUAAGCCUAUUUAUAUAAACACAGCUCUUGCUGGAAGCAGCCUUCAGCGUAACCAAUAUCAACUUUUAAAACAUGUAAAGAGAUUCCGGCCAAUAGAAUAACACCACUCCAACCGAGACGUCCGUCCUACUUCCCAGAACCUUCCUAAGUAAUACAGACCAUCACAAGCCAUAAAAGACUUGGCGGGUGUGAUCAGCCACAUCCUCCGCAAACGUCUGGGUGUGUCCAAGAGGGGCCAGGACAAGCAUCAGUCAGUCAAGUGAGGCAGCACUGAAUCCUGUGAACACCGCUGGCCUUAGCUGAAGGAAGAAGCCAGAAGGUCCAGGUUCCCUGCUAUUGGCUCCGAGAGAAAUGCAGGGUAGCCCAGUGAGAUCCAUUACAGAUAUCUAGCUUCUAGGACUGACUGUAAUAACCCUGUGUUGUUGAAAGACAUCUAGGGAUGAAGGGAAAGCUCAGUGGUCAUGUUUUCCACACACAGGUCCUGAGUUCAAUCUCUCCAGCAAUAAAAAAAGAAAGAAACCAGGGUUGAGAUAGCUUCUGACACCAGCAAUAGGGAAUUAAUAUUGGCCUGAAUACAAACCAGAACAGACCAUAUUAGUUUUCUAUGUGGAUAGACUCCACAUUCAUCUAUACAGUUUAACUGCACAGUUAUGUAUGUACCACAUGCAUGCCUCAUACCCACAAGGUCAUAAGAAGGCAUCAAAGCCGGGCAGUGGUGGUGCAGGCCUUUAAUCUCAGCACUUGGGAGGCAGAGGCAGGCAGAUUUCUGGGUUCGAGGCCAGCCUGGUCUACAAAGUGAGUUCCAGGACAGCAAGGGUUACACAGAGAAAUCCUGUCUUGGGGGAAAAAAAAAAAAAAGAAGGCAUCAGAUCCCCUGGAACUGCAGUUACAGAUAUGGUUGUAGACUACCAAGUGGGUGCUAACAAACCAAACCCAAGACCUCUCAAAAAUAACAAGGGCUCUUAACUGAUAAGCCAUCUCUUCAGCAUCUCCCCAAACUUAAAAAAAAAAAAAAUGCCAACAUAUAUGUAUAUAGGAGUCUGAAUACUUUAUUCCAACAAUGUGAAUAUAAAAUCUGAAUUAACUCUUAGAUCUUCCUUAGAUCCCCCUUUUUUUACUGCCACCACCUUGAUUGACAUUAAAAUUUGUUCUCAAAAUAAAAUUAUCCUGUUAUCAGUAAUACAAUAUAAAUAUCCAGUACAUUUUAAAU
ensembl:processed_transcript